CUGGAGGGCGCAUACUUGAUUCAUUUAGGAGUUCAUUAACUCCUAGAUUGGUACAAGCUCUAGUGUACCUUCAAGAUUGGCUUCGGAGUGAGCCAUAACCCAUAAGUAUUGAGGAAGAUUUAGAUUUUCUUGAGCAACUUGAAGAAGAUUUUGCUAAACUUGGAAAAGAACUUUGCAUUGAUGACAUGUAAAAUUGGAGGAAGGAAGAUUUCAUCAUGCAUCGAUCACUUGUUUGGAAUCACUAUGAAAAACUUGAAGAAAAUGAAGAUGGAUCGUGGAAGG